UACGUAGGUGGCAAGCGUUGUCCGGAAUUAUUGGGCGUAAAGCGCACGCAGGCGGUCUGCUAAGUUUGGAGUGACAGUUGGUGGCUUAACUGCCAAAGUGCUUCGAAAACUGACAGACUUGAGGGCUUCAGAGGGACACGGAAUUCCGGGUGGAGUGGUGAAAUGCGUAGAGAUCCGGAGGAACACCAAAGGCGAAGGCAGUGUCCUGGGGAGUACCUGACGCUCAGGUGCGAAAGCCAGGGGAGCGAACGGG
rnacentral:rRNA from 1 species